rnacentral:rRNA from 1 species
GUCUAAGGCCCCCAAUCACUAGCUAAGUGGGAAACGAAGUGGGAGGGCACAAACAGCCAGGAGGUUGGCUUAGAAGCAGCCAUCCUUUAAAGAAAGCGUAAUAGCUCACUGGUCGAGUCUUCCUGCGCGGAAGAUGUAACGGGGCUCAAGCUAGUAGCCGAAGACGCGGAUUCGAGCGCAAGCUCGAGUGGUAGGGGAGCGUUCCGUACGCCUGCGAAGGUGGAUCGUAAGGUCCGCUGGAGGUAUCGGAAGUGCGAAUGCUGACAUGAGUAGCGUUAAAGCGGGUGAAAAGCCCGCUCGCCGUAAGCCCAAGGUUUCCUGCGCCACGUUCAUCGGCGCAGGGUGAGUCGGCUCCUAAGGCGAGGCCGAAAGGCGUAGCUGAUGGAAAACAGGUCAAUAUUCCUGUACCUCGCCAUGAUGCGAUGAGGGGACGGAGAAGGUUAUGCAGGCCGGGUGUUGGAUGUCCCGGUUUAAGCGUGUAGGCGUGCCGCGUAGGCAAAUCCGCGUGGCUUAGUCGAGACGUGAUGACGACCGCCCUUUUGGGCGGGAAGCUGCAGAUACCAUGCUUCCAGGAAAAGCCUCUAAGCUUCAGUCAUGGUGGGACCGUACCGCAAACCGACACUGGUGGGCGAGAUGAGUAUUCUCAGGCGCUUGAGAGAACUCGGGAGAAGGAACUCGGCAAAUUGACACCGUAACUUCGGAAGAAGGUGUGCCUCCGGUAGGUGGAGAAAUUUACUUUCCGAGCCGAAGGGGGUUGCAGAGAAAUGGGGGUGGCGACUGUUUACUAAAAACACAGGACUCUGCCAAGUCGCAAGACGAUGUAUAGGGUCUGACGCCUGCCCGGUGCCGGAACGUUAAGGGGAGGGGUCAUUCGGGUUCGCCCGGAGAAGCUCUAAACCGAAGCGCCGGUAAACGGCGGCCGUAACUAUAACGGUCCUAAGGUAGCGAAAUUCCUUGUCGGGUAAGUUCCGACCUGCACGAAUGGCGUAACGACUUCCCCGCUGUCUCCAACAUCGACUCAGCGAAACUGAAUUCUCCGUGAAGAUGCGGAGUACCCGCGGUUAGACGGAAAGACCCCGUGCACCUUUACUACAGCUUUGCAGUGGUAUUAGGGUCGGCAUGUGUAGGAUAGGCG